rnacentral:rRNA from 1 species
GAUUCAGGUUUCUGUAGGUGACCUGCGGAGGUCAUUAUCGAUGUUAAAUUGUCCAUCUUCAGUGCUGGCUCUUGCAUGUGCACGUUGGGGGCAUUUAUAUUCAACACCCUUUUGUGAACCAUUGGCCUCUGCUGGCUUCGGCUGGUAGAGGAUUUUUACACACACACAUAUGUAAUGAAAUAAUCUUGUUGUGCAUAGCACUACAAAUAUACAACUUUCAACAACGGAUCUCUUGGCUCUCGCAUCGAUGAAGAACGCAGCGAAAUGCGAUAAGUAAUGUGAAUUGCAGAAUUCAGUGAAUCAUCGAAUCUUUGAACGCACCUUGCACCCUUUGGUAUUCCAAAGGGUAUGCUCGUUUGAGUGUCAUUAUACUCUCACACUCUCUCUAAUUAGAGAGAGCGGUGGACUUGGGUGUUGCCUGAUAUUUACUGUCAGGCUCAUCUAAAAUCAGUUAGUGCGACUCCUAGUUAAACAUAGUACGGCGUGAUAAGUAAACCCUCGCUGUUUUCUGUCUGAUUAGGAGCUCUGUGCUUCAAACCGUCCUCGGACAAUGUCUGAUAACUUGGCCUCAAAUCGAGUAGGAUUACCCGCUGAACUUAAGCAUACUAA